rnacentral:snRNA from 1 species
GUGCUCGCUUCAGCAGCACAUGCACUAAAACUGGAAGGAUACAGAGAAGAUUAGCGUGGCCCCUGUGCAAGGACGACACGCAAAUUUGUGAAGCGCUCCAUAUUUUU